rnacentral:lncRNA from 1 species
GGCCGACUUCUCACGGUGGCUCAGGGUGGGGAGCCCAGCCCAACGCAGCCAGGGCACCGGGCAGAGGUCAGGGUUUCGCUGCAGGGCCUCUUCUGCUCUCGGGACCUCAGCCCCGGCAGACAGCCAGGCACUCAGCGGAGGAGAGUGGCCCACCCACAUCUCCCCCGGACUCCUCCACCAAACAGACCAUGGGGACCAGGUGGACACAGGAGACCAGUGAGGGGUGCCUGCCAUGGCCCAGAAGAGUAUAGACAAGGCUGGUCUGAGGGGAGGCCAAGGUGACAUGCGUGCAUGCCCAUGGGCCCAUGUGUGCCGACCUGGAGUUGGGCCUGGGCCCCGAAAGGCCACCAGGGUGGGUUUGUGUGGCGGGUGCUGAGGUCGAGGCACUCAUCAUGCAUCCGUGAGUCACACGUAUUCCUUUCCGGGAGCACCUGAGUUCUGCCCACCACAGCUGCCCCCUCUUCAAGGCCCUGAGCUUCAGCCCGUCUCCAGGGUCUCCCAGGCCCUCUCGUAGGAGGCCGAGCCCUGGUUUGGGCACCCCCACACCUUCCUCCUUGGGGUGGGGAUCCUGGAUGGGCAGCGGCCCUGCCCGCCCUGGCCACUCCAUGAGCACACCACGAAUGAAGCCAUUCCCUGGCCUUAGGCAAGCAGGCCCUGGACCCAAGAGCCUGCACACAGGACGACGCUGCCGGGACGUGAUUGAAUCCAGUCUCCUCCGGGCAACCGUCUUCCUGGGAGGGAACUUACGGCCGGCUGACCAGGACAGAAAAACGGAAACUCCCCCCACAGUGGUCCAGCCAUAGACGCCUCCACCAGGAAGCCCUCUGGGAAGAAGACGGCCUCUGCGUCCCAGCUCUGUCCAGUGGCCUCCAAGGUCCCCACCCAGCAUCAGCCCUGAGCAUGAGCAGGCAUCGUGUGGGGGGUAAGCCGUUGGCAAGGCCACUUGGCUCUACCUUCAAGACAUACCAGAGCCUAACGCGUCCCGCCGCCUGGUCCCCUCCCGCUGGGACCUGCGCCCACCUCCUCACCGGCCCCUCCUCUGCACACAACCUCUGGAAAACCUUAAUCAGGUCAUAUCCCCGUCUUGGCCAGGCCCCCCGGGCUGCCGUCUCACUCCAAUA